rnacentral:rRNA from 1 species
GACGAACGCUGGCGGCGUGCUUAACACAUGCAAGUCGAACGAAGAGCGACGGAAGCUUGCUUCUAUCAAUCUUAGUGGCGAACGGGUGAGUAACGCGUAAUCAACCUGCCCUUCAGAGGGGGACAACAGUUGGAAACGACUUCUAAUACCGCAUACGAUCUAAUCUCGGCAUCGAGGAGGGAUGAAAGGUGGCCUCUACAUGUAAGCUAUCACUGAAGGAGGGGAAUGCGUCUGAUUAGCUGGUUGGAGGGGUAACGGCCAUCCAAGGCGAGGAUCGGUAGCCGGUCAGCAAGGAGGCACGGCCACAUUGGGACUGGGAGCCGGCCCAGCCUCCUACGGGAGGCAGCCGUGGGGGAUCUUCCGCAAUGGACGAAAGUCUGACGGAGCAACGCCGCGUGAGUGAUGACGGCCUUCGGGUUGUAAAGCUCUGUUAAUCGGGACGAAAGGCAUUCUUGCGAAUAGUGAGAAGGAUUGACGGUACCGGAAUAGAAAGCCACGGCUAACUACGUG